GUGGGGAAUAUUAGGCAAUGGGCGAAAGCCUGACCUAGCAACGCCGCGUGAAGGAAGAAGGCCUUCGGGUUGUAAACUUCUUUUAUGAGGGACGAAGGACGUGACGGUACCUCAUGAAUAAGCCACGGCUAACUACGUGCCAGCAGCCGCGGUAAUACGUAGGUGGCGAGCGUUGUCCGGAUUUACUGGGUGUAAAGGGCGCGUAGGCGGACUGGCAAGUCAGAUGUGAAAUACAGGGGCUCAACCCCUGAACUGCAUUUGAAACUGUUGGUCUGGAGUAUCGGAGAGGCAAGCGGAAUUCCUAGUGUAGCGGUGAAAUGGGUAGAUAUUAGGAGGAAAACCAGUGGCGAAGGCGGCUUGCUGGACGAAAACUGACGCUGAGGCGCGAAAGCGUGGGGAGCAAACAGGAUUAGAAACCCGAGUAGUCC
rnacentral:rRNA from 1 species